UGGGGAAUAUUGCACAAUGGGCGCAAGCCUGAUGCAGCCAUGCCGCGUGUGUGAAGAAGGCCUUCGGUUGUAAAGCACUUUCAGCGAGGAGGAAGGUGGUGAACUUAAUACGUUCAUCAAUUGACGUUACUCGCAGAAGAAGCACCGGCUAACUCCGUGCCAGCAGCCGCGGUAAUACGGAGGGUGCAAGCGUUAAUCGGAAUUACUGGGCGUAAAGCGCACGCAGGCGGUUUGUUAAGUCAGAUGUGAAAUCCCCGGGCUCAACCUGGGAACUGCAUUUGAAACUGGCAAGCUAGAGUCUCGUAGAGGGGGGUAGAAUUCCAGGUGGUAGCGGUGAAAUGCGUAGAGAUCUGGAGGAAUACCGGUGGCGAAGGCGGCCCCCUGACGAAGACUGACGCUCAGGUGCGAAAAGCGUGGGGAGCAAACAGGAUUAGAUAACCCUGGUAGUCCACGCUGUAAAACGAUGUCGAUUUUGGAGGUUGUGCCCUUUGAGGCGUGGGCUUCCGGAGCUAACGCGUUAAAAUCGACCGCCUGGGGGAGUACGGCCGGCAAGG
rnacentral:rRNA from 1 species